GAGACAACUCUUUGCAGAGCUGAAAUCCCUGACACAAAAAUUGCAUACUUUAUUUGUCACAAACUUUAAUUAAUAAUCAUUCUUGCUCUAAUAGAUUCAUUCCUCUGAGGACCCUAAAGUACUUCAGAAAAACUAAAAAAUGAAUAUCACGUUACACCAAAGAAGAAAUGAAAGCUGCCAGUGUCUUCUGAAGUUAAACAGGCUCCUGUUCUUUGACCCAGCAAUCCAAUCCCAGGACUCCAGCUAAGCCACUAUGCUGGGAGCAGAGAUGGGGAAGAAUUGCUGAGUCAUGAUAAGAGAAGGCACUACAGGAAGAAACAGUGAACUCUUAACAGCUGGGCAAGCAAUGAGUCAGCCUGGGUGGUCACUCCAGAUGCUCCCGGACACAUCCCAAUUUCUAGGAUGCCUUGCUGAUAUGUACUUCUCAAGGAAAAAAAGUGGUCACUAUAUAUAUUAAACUGACAGACGAAAAGUGGAAAUAACAUAUGUCUUAGAUCUCCAUUUUGGCAAAGACAGGCUUCAGCUAUAAAGAAUCGAAGAAUAAAAUGAAACCAACAAAGUGAAAUCAUUUCUGAACCCAGUAAAUAUUACUGCAGCACUGAUCUGCUGAACCAGCAGAGGAGUCCAAAAGAAAAAUCUACUCAUCCCAAAUGAGUAUUUAUUCUCAAUAUGAUGUGUUUCACUAGCUCCUUUCCUCUAAAGCACUUUUUUUCCCUUGCAUUGUUUUUUUUUUCUAAUUAUAUGUGUGGCUUUAGACAAAUUAUUCCAAUUCUG
rnacentral:lncRNA from 1 species